GCUGGGGUAGCUCAACUGGUAAAGCAUGAGAUUCUUAAUCUCGGAGUCAUGCGUUCAAGCCUUACAUAGGGCA